rnacentral:rRNA from 1 species
CCAGUGACCUUGUUCAACGGCCGCGGUAUCCUAACCGUGCGAAGGUAGCGUAAUCACUUGUUCUUUAAAUGAGGACUAGUAUGAAUGGCACCACGAAGGUUAUACUGUCUCCUUUCUUUAAUCAGUGAAACUAAUCUCCCCGUGAAGAAGCGGGGAUGUAAUUAUAAGACGAGAAGACCCUAUGGAGCUUUAAACAUGAGUAACAAUUGCCCACCACAAUAAAAAUCCCCGGAAAUUAACCACAAUAUUUAGGCAUCUUGAUUACAAGUUUUAGGUUGGGGUGACCGCGGAGCAAAAAACAACCUCCGCAGUGAAGGGAACUUAUUUCCUAAACCCAGGGCUACGACCCUAAGAAUCAACAAAUUGACACUAAUUGACCCAAUAUUUUUGAUCAAUGAACCAAGUUACCCUAGGGAUAACAGCGCAAUCCACUUCAAGAGCCCCUAUCGACAAGUGGGUUUACGACCUCGAUGUUGGAUCAGGGUAUCCCAGUGGUGCAGCCGCUACUAAAGGUUCGUUUGUUCAACGAUUAAAACCCUACGUGAUCU